AUAAUAAAAAAGAAAAUUUUGGUAUGCUUUCCAAUAAGACAACUCUUCACAAGAGACCAAAUGACGCAGAAAUAAACAACUAUAGGUAGCUGUACGGCCUUCAACAAUGAGCAAAUCCCCAUACCGCAUAGUCAGCUAUAAAAGUCCCCGAAAUGACAAUGUAACAAAUUUCAAACGAGAAAAGUAACGGCUUAUUUAUGUACUUAAAAUAAACGAAAAACAAAUAUGUAACACAUAAACAAACGACAAC
rnacentral:lncRNA from 1 species